AUGUUAUCAUUAUUGAAAGACGGCAACCUUGGCUUCCUUUAGCAGACAGCUAAACUUUUCUUUUCUGCACAAAAAUAAAAUUCCUAUCAAUGUCAUGAAAAUGGCCAGCGCUACGAGAACCUGGGCUAUAGUAAAUAGGCAUGUACCCAUGAUUAAAUUCCGAAGAACAUCAGAUGGUAGCCAUGAGCACGGAACGGUUGUGCAGCCAGUUAGUGAAACGAAAGCAAUUGAAUUUGGAUAAGUCUUCUAUCAAACCUACUUCAACUGUCAUUCUAGAGGAUUGGCAGCUUACUGGCAGGUAUAAGAGAAAGCCAAUCUCACAAGAGGAAAUAGACUUCAUCAAUAGAGGAGGCCCACAGUGAUUUAUUUACAAAACAUUAGUUACUAUCAAUGUAUUUUAGAGUAUUGAAAAUAUUCUGUACUAAUUCUUCUUUGCCAGACUCUGCAAAUAAAUACCUAGCCCUUUUUGUACUGCAUCAGUUGUGGCAAAAUUGA